rnacentral:lncRNA from 1 species
CAUGCUAUUCUUUUUUUCUCUACAUGUUUUAGAAACACUGAAAGAGAAGCUAAAAUGUUGAUGGAAAUGGUUCAAUUUCAAAUGAUUGACUCACUUAGAGCCUGCUUCUCUGAAUUCCUAGUUCAUCAACAAAUGAGUCAUCCAAGUCAAGUGGCAAGACAAAAGUCAGGACAACUGAUGAUGACCCAGGAUACAGUGGCUGACUGUUUGCUGUCAGACCAAGUUCUAUGAGCUUCACAACACCUGCUUCCACUGCUUUCAUGGCCAUUGGAACAAAUUGCUCUCAUCUGCCCCUUCAGCCAGGGAAGUUUUCAGACGCUUGGGGUAGAUGCUUCCACCUCCAAUUUAUGAAAGGAUUUGAAGUCUGUCCAUUACCCUUAACCUGAUUUAGCCCAGGGGCAUGUAGUCACUACAUUUAAAGAGUGGGGUUUGAAUUCAUAUUGAUGUAAUGCUUUAAAAUCUGCAAUGUAACUGCAAAUAACCCUGUGAGGUGGGAGGUAUUAUUAUCCCCAUUUUACAGAAGGGAAACUGAGACUCAAAGCUAGAAGUUUGUUGGCAAUCAUGCAGCUAGUAAAUAUUAAAAAACUUUUCCCACUACAAAGAGAACUCUCUUCCCAU